rnacentral:rRNA from 1 species
UACGAAGGGGGCUAGCGUUGCUCGGAAUUACUGGGCGUAAGGCGCACGUAGGCGGCUUCUUAAGUCGGUGGUGAAAUCCUGGAGCUCAACUCCAGGACUGCCUUCGAUACUGGGAAGCUCGAGUCCGGGAGAGGUGAGUGGAACUGCGAGUGUAGAGGUGAAAUUCGUAGAUAUUCGCAAGAACACCAGUGGCGAAGGCGGCUCACUGGCCCGGUACUGACGCUGAGGUGCGAAAGCGUGGGGAGCAAACAGG